CAGGGGAGUCGGGGUUCGGCGCCCCUCCCCGAGCCCAGGGUAACCCUCAGAGUGGAGGGGCA
rfam:Canis lupus familiaris chromosome 13, whole genome shotgun sequence.